CCAGGACAUACUUUAUUCAGCUGGGUGCUGAAAAACAAUCUUGGAAAUUAGGAAACUGAAUGAGGCCUCAUUUCACACUCAGAAUGUGGGUUGCAGUAGUCACUUCCUCUGCUGCUGGGAAAGAAAGAAUUAUACUACCUUUUGAAUUUUGGAUUAAGGAGACAGGUGUUGGCUUGUCAAACUACCGUGUAUUCCUCAAGACAUAUUUUUGUGGCUUUAUAAAAUUCAAUAUAUAUUUCUAAAUUCAAAUAUAUUUUGUUGCAAUCUGGCCCUUGGACAAAAUGAGGCCCUGGCAACUGAUAUUUAUGGCUUCCCAUAGAACCUUUCAGAUAAAAUUUACACAGCAUUUUACUGCAGCUAUUUCACAUAAAGCAGAGGAUUUUGCCACAAAACUGAAAGAAAAAAGAAACUGCAUUCUUAAAUUUUUUAUAAAUCAAAAGGUAUAAAAAUAUCUACCUAAACGAUAAAGGAGAUGAGAAACCCACCCGUGAUGGGAAGAAAGCCUAUUUCAGUUUUGCCUUUACUUCAAGUUCUUUUUUCCCUAUCUGGAAUGCAAUCGGAAUUUUAAUCUUGCCUUGGGUUCCUCCUGGAUUUGGGGAGAAGAAAAAAUCUGAAAAUCUCAAAUCUGCAUGUGUUCCGCUGCAUAUCUUCCAGAUACGGAAGGAUCACACUGCACAGAGUGCUGUACUUGCAGGAGCCCCGCUUCUCAACCUCCAUUGCUUUAUGAAUGAAUUCACCGGAAAGAAAAGGAAGAAUCAACACUUUCAGAGAUGGAGACUAUUGAGCCACCGUAUCAACUAGUCGAUGCUGAAUCCGACUUCUCCCUUUCUACAUUGCCUGAGAGAAGUCUUGGGGAAUACUCUGUACACGAAUUUUCACUGUUGGGGAAAACGGAGAGUCAAGGGAUUGGAUUGUGGAUUGCAUUGGUGGUUUUCCUCAGUUUCCUCAUCUUCUCCCCAAGUUUCUACAUAUUGAAUGCAGAGCAGCCCUUCUUCAAAGGACCUCCUACUGAACCUGCUAAGGAACUCAGUCUGUAGCUCUGCGUGGAGCCAUGUGUAAACACUGAACUGAGGCCUGCCACCUCCUACUACCUAAGGGCCCCUUUUCAUCUGAGAUCAUCCCCCAGAAACAAACUCAUGCUGACUUUCAUGUUUUUUUAGAUUACAUACAUGGAGAAUUUUCCUUUCCCUUAGAAUUAAAAUCCUGCAUUCUAAUUUUCAGUAAGCUUUUUUAUUUUGUAAUAAUUUUAAAUUUAAAGAGAAGUUGCAAAGAUAGUAUAGAAUGUUUCCUUAUAUCUGUUUUUAUUUAGAGUGAUGUUCCCAGGAGGAAUGAUAAUGCAGCAAUGGAUAAGGACAGGAACAAGAGACAGUCUUAUCAUCUUCUUACAACUUGUAGAUGGGACAGUGGAAAGAGACGCCACAUCGGGGUUGGGCAUGCAGAGAUCUGGUCCUAAAUCAGUGCGAAUUUGCCAAGUCCUUUUGCCUCACAGAGCUCUAGGUUCUUAUCUGUCAAACAGGAACCAGACCAUCAGAUCCACAGAGAUUUAACCAAUGAAGGAGCCUUCUAAAACUUCACAUUGCCGUGUCAAUGUGAGGUUGCUGGAUGGUUAUGACAAGAAAUCACAUUAAAUUCACUGGGUAACAUUGUUCAUGAAAUAGGAUAAUGUGUUUCAGCGAUGAACCACCCAUGGCCUUACUACAGACGUAUUUCCACUUUGAAAAGGUGUGUGAGUGUACGUGUCUAUGUGUGAGACAGAGAUUAGAAAGUAUAAGUGUGUGCGUUUUCAUUUUACACAUCUUACAUUUUCCUUUAAUUUGUUUGAAAGCCUGUUUUGUUUGUGGCUUCCAUUCCUGGAGGUCCCAUGAGUUGUUAGUGGUGAAGAUGGAACAGAUGUGUCCCACCCUGGGGACUCCUGCCCUCCGGGACUGAGCAGCUGCAAACAUCUCUCUCUCAUCUGAUUCCACUGUUUCUUCCACAUGUGCACAUCAUGAGAAAUAUUGUUCAAUCAAUAUCUUUCCUUCAAUCAACUUAUAUGCUUAUUUACAUGAAUUUACCUAAAACAGAAACUUGGUAUCAAUUCUGUAAAUGAAAAAAUUAAAAUUUCUGGCUUUAAAUAAAGUGUAA
rnacentral:lncRNA from 1 species